AGUGAACGCUGGCGGUAGGCCUAACACAUGCAAGUCGAACGGCAGCACAGUAAGAGCUUGCUCUUACGGGUGGCGAGUGGCGGACGGGUGAGGAAUACAUCGGAAUCUACUUUUUCGUGGGGGAUAACGUAGGGAAACUUACGCUAAUACCGCAUACGACCUACGGGUGAAAGCAGGGGAUCUUCGGACCUUGCGCGAUUGAAUGAGCCGAUGUCGGAUUAGCUAGUUGGCGGGGUAAAGGCCCACCAAGGGGACGAUCCGUAGCUGGUCUGAGAGGAUGAUCACCAACACUGGAACUGAGACACGGCCCAGGCUCCUACGGGGGGCAGCAGUGGGGAAUUUUGGACAGUGGGCGAAAGCCUGCUCCAGCCAUCCCGGGUGGGUGAAGAAGGCCUUCGGGUUUUAAAGCCUUUUUGUGGGAAAAAAAAAGCAGCAGUUUAAUACCCCGCUUUUCUGAGGGUCCCAAAAAAAAAAGCCCCGGCUACCUUCGUC
rnacentral:rRNA from 1 species